rnacentral:tRNA from 2 species
GCGGGCCGAAGAGGAAAGGUUAUCAUUUUUCAUGAGGUGGUCGCGGGUUCGAGCCCCGCCGGGCCGCA